rnacentral:rRNA from 1 species
AGUGAACGCUGGCGGUAGGCCUAACACAUGCAAGUCGAACGACAGCACAGUAAGAGCUUGCUCUUACGGGAGGCGAGUGACGGACGGGUGAGGAAUACAUCGGAAUCUACUUUUUCGUGGGGGAUAACGUAGGGAAACUCACGCUAAUACCGCAUACGACCUACGGGUAAAAGCAGGUGUUCUUUGGACCUUGCGCGAAUGAAUGAGCCGAUGUCGGAUUAGCUAGUUGGCGGGGUAAAGGCGCACAAAGGAGACGAUCCGUAGCGGGUCUGAGGGGAUGAAUAGGCACACGGGAACUGAGAGAGGGUGGAGACUCCUAGAGGAGGCAGCAGUGGGGAAUCCUACACGAUGGGGGCGAGGCGGAUAUAGCCAUACCGCGGGGGUUAAGAAGGCCUGCGGGUUGGAGAGCCCUUUUGUUGUGAAAGAAAAGCAGCAGUUUAAGACCCCGAUGUUCUGACGGUACCUGAAGAAGAAGCUCCGGCUAACUUCGUG